GAUGAACGCUGGCGGCGUGCUUAACACAUGCAAGUCGAGCGAAGCAGUUAAGUUGAUUUCUUCGGAUUGAUUCCUAAUUGACUGAGCGGCGGACGGGUGAGUAACGCGUGGGUGACCUGCCCCAUACCGGGGGAUAACAGCUGGAAACGGCUGCUAAUACCGCAUAAGCGCACAGAGCUGCAUGGCUCAGUGUGAAAAACUCCGGUGGUAUGGGAUGGGCCCGCGUCUGAUUAGGCAGUUGGCGGGGUAACGGCCCACCAAACCGACGAUCAGUAGCCGGCCUGAGAGGGCGACCGGCCACAUUGGGACUGAGACACGGCCCAAACUCCUACGGGAGGCAGCAGUGGGGAAUAUUGCACAAUGGGGGAAACCCUGAUGCAGCGACGCCGCGUGAGCGAAGAAGUAUUUCGGUAUGUAAAGCUCUAUCAGCAGGGAAGAUAAUGACGGUACCUGACUAAGAAGCCCCGGCUA
rnacentral:rRNA from 1 species